UGCCACAUAACAAAAAUAAUACCACGUAACAAAAAAAUAGUGCCACGUAACAAAAAAAUAGUGCCACGUAAAAAAAAUAAUGCGACAUACUUAAAAUGAUAAACUAAAAUCAGAACAUAUUUUUAUAGUUCAAAAUAUCCUUAAAAAAAAAGAAAAAAAAAAAAAAAAAAUGAUUUUUUAUUUUAAUUUAUUAACAGUCACCUUUUUAUGUUAUUUCUUUUUUUUGUACACAUGUGUAAACAUAAAACUAAACAAACAAAUUAAUAAUAUUUAUCAUAGUAAUAGAAGUAGUAUCAAAAUGGUUAGGAGUCCUUAUCUUAAUAUAUCUAACAGUGUAUUUUUUAAUAAAAAUGAUAAAAAUAAUAUAAUAACAAAAAAUGAUAAGGAUAAAAAAUGCAACAUCCGAAUUAGUUGUAAUGAUAAUAAAGCAAAUAUUUUUCGAAAAGAUAUUUUUCUUUUGGUAAAAGAAAAAAAUAAUAUUAAAAAUGUAAAAGAAGAGAUUGAAAAAAUUUAUGGCAUACCAACAAUUUUACAACAAAUAUUUUAUGAAGAAAAAAUAUUAGAUGAUAUGAUAACAAUUGAAAAUUUAAGUAAAGAUAAAAAAAUAAAAUUUUUAAACAUGCGUCUUGUACCUAUACUUCCACAUCUAUUCGAUAUAAAAGAAACAGAACAAAAUGGAAAAAGUAGUAUGUUACAAGAAGUGGAUAAAACUGAUCAAGUACAAGAAGAGAAUAAAAAAAUAACAAAAUUAAAACAAAAAUUAAAAUUUUAUGGUUAUUUAACAUUAAUUAAUAAAUAUAAAAAAUUGUUAGAAGAAUUAGAAAAAAAAAAUUAUAUUAUUAACAGUAAGGAUAUGUUAGAGUCAUAUAAAUCGUUUGAUGUCGAAUUUGAUAAUGUGUUAAAAAAAUAUAAUAUAAAUUUUGAAAAAAUAAAAAAAGAGAUUGAAGAUCUGAAAUUUAUUCAAAAAAAAAAAUUAUUAUUGCGAUUAGAAAUGGAUUAUCCUUUUAUGAGUAUUUUAUUAAUUGAUAGAAUAAAACAAUUAUUUCAAUUUUAUUAUAUGGGUAAUAUAAAAUCAAGUAUUAAGUUUUUUCUUUUUUUUUAUAUUCUAUAUAAAUAUGCUGAUUACCCUGUUAAUGUAAAAAAAAGCUUUUUAUAUAUUUCUUUCUUUUUUCUUUUGGCUCCUUGUAAACCUUUUUAUAAAUUUUCUCAUUUCCUGUUCUUUUUCAUUCCGAAAAAU
rnacentral:lncRNA from 1 species